rnacentral:rRNA from 1 species
UGGCGGCAUGCUUUACACAUGCAAGUCGUGCGGCAGCGCGGGGGCAACCCUGGCGGCGAGCGGCGAACGGGUGAGUAAUGCAUCGGAACGUACCCCGUAGUGGGGGAUAACGCCGGGAAACCGGCGCUAAUACCGCAUAUGCUCUACGGAGGAAAGCGGGGGACCGCAAGGCCUCGCGCCUAUGGGAGCGGCCGAUGCCCGAUUAGCUUGUUGGUGAGGUAAAGGCUUACCAAGGCGACGAUCGGUANCUGGUCUGACAGGAUGAUCAGCCACACUGGGACUGAGACACGGCCCAUACUCCUACGGGAGGCAGCAGUGGGGAAUCUUGGACAAUGGGGGAAACCCUGAUC